rnacentral:sRNA from 1 species
CGUCAAGAAAAUCCAAUCAUAAAUGGAGAAGGGGGAUGGUCUAGCGGGGGCGCGUUAAUGGGUACCUCGGCCAGUCCCAGACACAUCCGGGUCUUCGACAGCCCAUUAAGUGUCGGGGGUCAAAAAAUUGCUUUAGGCUGCAGCUUUACCUUGUAGACGUUUUGGUCCCCUGGCAGCCGCCGUACCACCUAGUCUCUCAAAUCUGUGAUUCUCCUUUGGCAGGCUCUCAUUCUUUCACGUCUAAAGAUGGAGACUGAGAACGGCGCUGGGCUCUAUAUUUGGGUGGAGGGAUGUGAGGCAGCUGUCUAUGAUUUGCCUCAUGCUCCAGCAGAGGUGUGAUUUCCCCAGCUGCAGACAGUUUCUGAAGUUGUGUGACAUGUGAAAUUCUGGGAAGUUUCCAGAGGGUCCAUGAAUGUUUGGACCCUAAGCUGUAAGUGAUGAAACAGGAGGACAAAAAGGGUGGGAAAAAGAAGUCAUAAAGACCAGCUACAGCCAUUCUUACAAGACUAUGAGAAAGCAUGCGGCUGGGCAGUGGUGGUGCCCAGCACUUUUUACUCCAAGCACUCAGGAGGCAGAAGCAGGC